CUACUUGCUUCAGCAGUACAUAUACUAAAAUUGGAAUGAUACAGAGAAGAUUAGCAUGGCCCCUGCACAAGGAUAACAUGCAAAUUCGUGAAGCAUUCCAUAUUUUU
rnacentral:snRNA from 1 species